rnacentral:rRNA from 1 species
UACGGGGGGGGCAAGCGUUGUUCGGAAUUACUGGGCGUAAAGGGCGCGUAGGCGGUGUGUCAAGUCAGGCGUGAAAGCCCCGGGCUCAACCUGGGAACCGCGCUUGAGACUGGCACGCUCGAGUUCGGGAGAGGAUGGUGGAAUUCCCAGUGUAGAGGUGAAAUUCGUAGAUAUCAGGAGGAACACCGGUGGCGAAGGCGGGUCUCUGGGCAGUAACUGACGCUGAGGAACGAAAGCGUGGGUAGCGAACAGG